CCCACACUCAAUGACUGACAUGCAUCUAUAAAUGUCUUGAAAUUCUAAAUUAAAACAAGCGUUGGUAUUUUUAGCAUUUCUAUAAUGCGAAUAAAUGAUUCCGUCAACACUGUACGAUUCACUCUAUUCAUGGGCGGAGCGACCUAAAUUUAAUGUAUUCAGGAUUCUGUGAUGCCGCGCGACAACUGCGCGUGCUGCGCGCGUGAGUAACAGCGCAAGGCAUCCCGGGAAUAUGCAUAGUGAAAAGAGCAAAGCUGUCACGUGUCUGGCACGUACGCCAAUAACAACUUUGACGAAAGAAAAAUAACAACUUUGACGAAGGUUGAUGUUUUAUUUUAUUGUUGUAUAUAUAUAGCUUUAUAUACUAUUAUUAUAAUAGGAUUUAGCAUUUCAAAUCAAAAUUUAUUUACACGAAUAUAUUAUAACAAUAAUUAGUGCACUAUUAGUUUGAAUUAUAAAAUUAGAAUAAAGGAUAUCCCUUCCCCCCCUUCAUUUGUAAACAUUGGAUUUGCGGAACGUUUUGUUUUUAAGCAGCAAAAUGCGUAUAUCAAGCUAUGUGAUGGGACAAUACCCGCCAUUUUGGGGGUACUGUCUUCCAACUCACGUUUGAGAAUCUAUAGACAGUCUAAACAAUGUGCAUAGCGACUUUUGAAAGUUGUAACUAUAAAUCGCUACUUCGUGAAUAAAGCCCUGGUCAAACGCAGUCUGAGAGUUGAUGAGAGUUUGCAAGCAAGUUUGAUACGAGUUUGUAUAAGAGUUUUCUCAAUUCUCGUGGCCUGACCAAACGAAAACAAGGCUACGUUCAUGCUAGACGGGAUAGCUUUCCGUAUAGCGGCGCGAAAAAGCACCUGUCCGAUACGGAAUGUACAAGUUCAGAAGUUGAGUGAAACAACCAUGGGCGUACGGGACCAGUCUUAUUUGGGGGGGGACAGUGUAUUUUGCCCGAACAGGCAAACUUAACAUUUUACAGGUCACCAAAAAAUUUUGUCGAAAGAUACCAAAAA